rnacentral:rRNA from 1 species
GACGAACGCUGGCGGCGUGCUUAACACAUGCAAGUCGAACGGUGAAGCGCCUUCCUUUUUGGUGGGUGUGGAUGAGUGGCGAACGGGUGAGUAACACGUGAGUAACCUGCCCCCUUCUUCUGGAUAACCGCAUGAAAGUGUGGCUAAUACGGGAUAUUCUGGGUCUGUCGCAUGAUGGGUCUGGGAAAGAUAUUGUUUCGGUGGGGGAUGGGCUCGCGGCCUAUCAGCUUGUUGGUGGGGUGAUGGCCUACCAAGGCGGUGACGGGUAGCCGGCCUGAGAGGGUGGACGGUCACACUGGGACUGAGACACGGCCCAGACUCCUACGGGAGGCAGCAGUGGGGAAUAGUGCACAAUGGGCGCAAGCCUGAUGCAGCGACGCCGCGUGAGGGAUGGAGGCCUUCGGGUUGUGAACCUCUUUCGCCAGUGAAGCAGGCCUGCCUCGUUUGUGGGUGGGUCGACGGUAGCUGGAGAAGAAGCGCCGGCUAACUACGUG